rnacentral:rRNA from 1 species
CCGUGUACGUACAAGCAGUGGGAGCACCCUUUGGGUGUGACUGCGUACCUUUUGUAUAAUGGGUCAGCGACUUAUAUUCUGUAGCAAGGUUAACCGAAUAGGGGAGCCGGAGGGAAACCGAGUCUUAACCGGGCGUUAAGUUGCAGGGUAUAGACCCGAAACCCGGUGAUCUAGCCAUGGGCAGGUUGAAGGUUGGGUAACACUAACUGGAGGACCGAACCGACUAAUGUUGAAAAAUUAGCGGAUGACCUGUGGCUGGGGGUGAAAGGCCAAUCAAACCGGGAGAUAGCUGGUUCUCCCCGAAAGCUAUUUAGGUAGCGCCUCGUGAAUUCAUCUCCGGGGGUAGAGCACUGUUUCGGCUAGGGGGCCAUCCCGGCUUACCAACCCGAUGCAAACUGCGAAUACCGGAGAAUGUUAUCACGGGAGACACACGGCGGGUGCUAACGUCCGUCGUGAAGAGGGAAACAACCCAGACCGCCAGCUAAGGUCCCAAAGUCAUGGUUAAGUGGGAAACGAUGUGGGAAGGCCCAGACAGCCAGGAUGUUGGCUUAGAAGCAGCCAUCAUUUAAAGAAAGCGUAAUAGCUCACUGGUCGAGUCGGCCUGCGCGGAAGAUGUAACGGGGCUAAACCAUGCACCGAAGCUGCGGCAGCGACACUGUGUGUUGUUGGGUA